AACGCUGGCGGCGGCCUAAACAUGCAAGUCGAGCGCGCCCUUCGGGGUGAGCGGCGGACGGGUUAGUAACGCGUGGGAAUAUGCCCAAAGGUACGGAAUAGCCUCUGGAAACGGAGAGUAAUACCGUAUGUGCCCUUCGGGGGAAAGAUUUAUCGCCUUUGGAUUAGCCCGCGUUAGAUUAGGUAGUUGGUGGGGUAAUGGCCUACCAAGCCUACGAUCUAUAGCUGGUUUUAGAGGAUGAUCAGCAACACUGGGACUGAGACACGGCCCAGACUCCUACGGGAGGCAGCAGUGGGGAAUCUUGGACAAUGGGCGCAAGCCUGAUCCAGCCAUGCCGCGUGAGUGAUGAAGGCCUUAGGGUCGUAAAGCUCUUUCGCCAGGGAUGAUAAUGACAGUACCUGGUAAAGAAACCCCGGCUAACUCCGUGCCAGCAGCCGCGGUAAUACGGAGGGGGUUAGCGUUGUUCGGAAUUACUGGGCGUAAAGCGCGCGUAGGCGGAUCGGAAAGUUGGGGGUGAAAUCCCGGGGCUCAANCCCGGAACUGCCUCCAAAACUAUCGGUCUA
rnacentral:rRNA from 1 species